CUGGUGAGUAACACGUGGGGAAUCUGCCCAAAGCAGGGGAUAACACUUGGAAACAGGUGCUAAUACCGUAUAACAACAAAAUCCGCAUGGAUUUUGUUUGAAAGGUGGCUUCGGCUAUCACUUCUGGAUGAUCCCGCGGCGUAUUAUUAGUUGGUGA
rnacentral:rRNA from 1 species